UACGUAGGGGGCAAGCGUUGUCCGGAAUCAUUGGGCGUAAAGCGCGUGUAGGCGGUUCUGUAAGUCUGCUGUGAAAGUCCAGGGCUCAACCCUGGGAUGCCGGUGGAUACUGCAGGGCUGGAGUACGGAAGAGGCGAGUGGAAUUCCCGGUGUAGCGGUGAAAUGCGCAGAUAUCGGGAGGAACACCUAUUGCGAAGGCAGCUCGCUGGGACGUUACUGACGCUGAGACGCGAAAGCGUGGGGAGCAAACAGG
rnacentral:rRNA from 1 species